UUAAGUUCAGCGGGUAGUCCCACCUGAUUCGAGGUCAGAUUUGAAAAGUGGUUAAUCCAAUUAAGAAUUAAAGCCAAGUUAGAAGCAGUCCAUUGAAUUUACUAUGGCCAUUCCUCGUGAAAGGAAUGUCCUCAACGAUCAGAUAAUUAUCACGUUGAGUAGAACCAAUUCGUUCUAGUACCAGCUAAUGCUUUUAAAAC
rnacentral:misc_RNA from 1 species